CCUCAAGGGAAGGCCUGAGGAGCAGCAGGCAGGACACACAGAAUGAUGGCACCUGUUCUGCUCCUGGGGCUUCUGGGGCUCUACACCACAGGUACUUCUGGUGACAUUGUGUUGAAUCAGUCUCCCUCCUCUCUGUCUGGGGCUUCUGGAGAGAAAAUCACCAUCACCUGCACAACCAGUCAAAGUGUCAAGCACACUGGUGGGAAAACCUAUCUGAGCUGGUUCCAACAGAAAAGUGGACGAGUUAAGCAACUCAUUUACCAAGUUUCCACCUUACAGACUGGAGUCCCAUCGCGGUUCAGUGGCAGUGGGUCUGACAGAGAUUUCAGCCUCACCAUCAGCAGCCUGGAGGCUGAAGAUGCCGCUGUCUUACUGCGGGCAAGGUUCCUAUAG